CUCAUACAGUGCAAGCAGGACCAUCAGUUCUCUCUGGGGUUUGCUGUGCAAACUCCAGCUCUCCAUGCAAAAGGAAAUGAGUGCAGAUGGCCACCUCUUCCAAAUGGCUUGUUAACUCCAUCCUGAUCAUUUGAUUGCAGUGUCCACUGCUGCUGCCCAUAGUACGUCCAUCACGACCACUGCCAGCGAGACAACAGUGUUGAAUGCUACUGCCGUUCCUGAUGCAUCUACCUCAGUCACUCCAAUCAAUGCAACUGCAUCUAAUUAUUCAAGCUUAUCAUCAACUACAGCCUUUCCACAAAACGUAUCUAACUCCACCAUUUCAAACACUGAAACUGCUGAAAAUCUGUCUGCUUCAGCCAUGCCUUCUAACACAACAGAGUCCAGUGCUGUUACAGUUGCAACAAAUGUGUCCACAGUUGGCAAUGGGCAGAACAUCACAGUGCAUAACUCCACCGCUGGGUUUCUGAAUGUCUCCACGCCAGUCACUCCUACAGUCACUGCUACAACAGGUACGCACAAACCUACAGCCCAGGCUUGGAAAAAACUCAAGGGGAAACCAUUCUUUGUGUCUU
ensembl:lincRNA